UAGGAUAUAGUAUAAUGGAAGUACGGGGAGUUUUGAUCUUUCUGGUGUAGGUUCAAUUCCUAUUUUUCUAA
rnacentral:tRNA from 1 species